UUUUAUUAUCAAUUACAGUAAGAAUAGGGGUGUUGAAUGCAAUGAAGUCAUUGUUAUUAUUUUUUUGUUAGUCGUAAAUUUUCAGUAUUUACCAACAUAAGCUACUCUGGAGAAGAAUAAAGUGUAAAGUAUACUAAUUCUGUAAAAUGAUUGCAUCUGCAAUGAUGAUUUGUUUUGAGUUCUAAUAGUAUGGUUACAGUUGCCCUUCUUCAAAUAUAUUACAUGAUCACUUUUGUUUGUUUUAUUUUUAUUUUGCUAAUAGAAUAUUUCAAAUUCAUUUUCUGAUCUCUUCGUUAUGUAUGACGACAGGAAACUAGCUUUUGUAGGUUUUCUUUGCCAUUGACGAACGGAUAUAAUUUGUUGGAUCUCACUAUCACGGAUAUUCUUCGUGUGAUCAAUCCCUCAAAAGAAGAUUGGUCCUUCCGGUUUCAAAUGAUUAAUGAGAUACGAGCUAUGGUUGGAUCGAUAGAAAAUCUGAGAGGUGCAACUGUGUAACCAUUUGGGUCUUUUGCAUCUAAUCUCUUUACAAAAUGGGGAGAUUUAGAUAUAUCAAUAGAGUUGCAAAAUGGUACAUAUAUCUCGUCUCCGGGGAAGAAGCACAAGCAAAGUGUGCUGCAAGAAGUACUAAAAGCUUUCAGAAAGAAAGGUGUGUUCUGUAAACUAAAGUUCAUCGCCAAUGCAAGGGUACCCAUUCUGAAGUUUGAGGGAAGCUACAAUAUCUCGUGUGAUAUCUCGAUCAACAAAGAAACUAGCUUUUGUAGGUUUUCCUUUCCAUUGGUAAUGCUCGUUUACAGGCCGGAGAUGUUCCGUCAUAGAAAAGUUUGACAACUCACUUGACAAGACACAGUCACAAUGAACAGAUAUAAUUUGUUGGAUCUCACUAUCAGGGAUAUUCUUCGUGUGAUCAAUCCCUCAAAAGACGAUUGGUCCUUCCGGUUUGAAAUUAUUAAUGAGAUACGAGAUAUUGUUGGAUCAAUAGAAAAUCUGAGAGAUAUAUCAAUAGAGUUGCAAAAUGGUACAUAUAUCUCGUCUCCAGGGAAAAAGCACAAGCAAAGUGUGCUGCAAGAAGUACUGAAAGCUUUCAGAAAGAAAGGUGGGUUCCGUAAACUGAAGUUCAUCGCCAAUGCAAGGGUACCCAUUCUGAAGUUUGAGGGAAGCUAUGAUAUCUCGUGUGACAUCUCGAUCAACAACGAAACUAGCUUUUGUAGGUUUUCUUUGCCAUUGGUAAUGCUCGUUUACAGGCAGGAGAUGUUCCGUCAUCCAAAAGUUUGACAAACUCACUUGACAAGACACAGUCACAAUGAACGGAUAUAAUUUGUUGGAUCUCACUAUCAGGGAUAUUCUUCGUGUGAUCGAUCAAUCCCUCAAAAGACGAUGAGUCCUUCCGGUUUCAAAUUAUUCAUGAGAUACGAGCUAUUGUUGGAUCAAUAGAGGUAUGCAAUGUUUCAUCAUAUGGUUGUUCUUGCUUAUUUUUACUCCAUGCACAGAAAAUUUUAUUUGUUUACUUAUUUGGCGUAAAAGUAAAAAGAGGAAAUGAAACAGAAAAUCUUGCAUUUUUUACUGGAAAAUAGGCGAGUGUCAUUGUACAUCAGCGAUGAGUUGUAUUAGGAUCCAACUGGAUUAUGUUCAUGCCAGUGUUUUCGAAUUUUGCUCGUACUAUUUACAGCUCACUCUCAUUCAUAUAUGAGCAACAAGCAGUGUUUAUGUUCUGAAAGUUUCGGAUAACCAACUUUUUUGUCCAUGAAUUUCACUUGCUCAGCACAGUAAAUGGGUUUAAAACGCAACUUGAGUGCACUAGUAAAAAAAAAAAUCGAAAAAUGAUUCUAGCUUUUAGUUUUUCAUACAAUAGCUACCUAUGAAAUUGUUUCAAAAUAUAUCCGUAGUUUACUCCACGCACAUAAAAUUUUAUUUGGCGUAGAAAUAAAAUAGAGGAAAUGAAACAGAAUAUCUUGCAUUUUUUACUGGAAAAUAGGCGAGUAUUAUUCUACAUCAGGGAUGAGUUGCAGUGAUUUUGCUCGUACUAUGUGUAGCUCAGUCUCAUUCUUAUAUGAACAACGAGUAGUGUUUAUUUUCUGAAAGUUUUGGAGAACCAACUUUUUUGUCGAUGAAUUUCACAUGCUCAGCACAGUAAAUGGGUUUAAAACGCUACUUGAGUGCACUAGUAAAAAAAAUGAAAAUCGAAAAAUUAAUUCUAGCUCUUAGUUUUUCGUACAACAGCUACCUAUGAAAUUCUUUCAAAAUAUAUCCGUAGUUUCUUUCAAAACGUAUAGGCGACGUACCUCCUAUAUUUGACAUGCAAAAUAUCUUCUGCUUGGAAUUUGUAAUAAUUUGGGUGUUGUGAUUAUUAAAUUUUCUCAGAGAAAAAUGCGAAUAGCUUCUUCCUGUUUAUUUUUAUGUUGUUUGAGAACUAUGAAAAAUGGUUGAUGACAUAUAUUUGAUGAAAUAACGUUCAAAAUUGUGGAAACAGGUGCAUCUGUGGAACCAUUUGGGUCUUUUGCAUCUAAUCUCUUUACAAAAUGGGGAGAUUUAGAUAUAUCAAUAGAGUUGCAAAAUGGUACAUAUAUCUCGUCUUCGGGGAAAAAGCACAAGCAAAGUGUGCUGCAAGAUGUACUAAAAGCUUUCAGAAAGAAAGGUGGGUUCCGUAAACUGAAGUUCAUCGCCAAUGCAAGGGUACCCAUUCUGAAGUUUGAGGGAAGCUACGAUAUCUCGUGUGACAUCUCGAUCAACAACGCAAGUGGUCAAAUGAAGUAAAAAAUCUUAUUCUGGAUCAACGAGAUCGAUGGGCGCUUCCUGGUCCUUCUCGUACAUAAUUUAUACCUGAUCAGCUUUAUCAUUUACCCCCUAAAAUUUCACCGUUCAGGGGGUUGUGUGCUGAAAAACUGCAUCAUAGGGGAUUUGUGCUACUAUUUAAUAACAUGGGGAUUUUUUUAUAACAAUUAUAGUAAGAAUAGGGGUGUUGAAUGCAAUCAAGUCAUUGUUAUUAUUUUUUGUUAGUCGUAAAUUUACAGUAUUUACCAACAUAAGCUACUAUGGAUCAGAAGAAUAAAUUGUAAAGUAUACUAAUUCCGUAAAAUGAUUGCAUCUGCAAUGAUGAUUUCUUUUGAGUUCUAAUAGUAUGCUUACAGUUGCCCUUCUUCAAAUAUCU